AGCCUUGCGUCAGUCUGGCGUGGGCCAUUCUAUAGGACGGGUCGGGUGUGUCGCCCGUCUCUCCUCCGCUCCUUUGAAAGGAGAAAAUCCGCAUAUUUCGUUCCAUCAGUGCCGAUCUCGCUGAGAGAUAUGCACGCACAGUGAUCCUCUCAAUUGUAGUUUGAAGUGAUAAAAACCCGCCAUCCAUAGGUUGUCGAAGUUACAGCAGUGCGAGGCUGGGAAAAGUGUGUUGGCCGCGGCGUCAGGCAAGCCAGGCUCCCGGUACCGGCUGUAGUGUGUGAUAUUUGCCCUGUUAUGGUGUCCGCGGUGGUGUAAAACGUGCGAGUGGAUAAUUUGGAUAAGAGCUUCCCCUUCUCCCGACGAGGACGAGCUGUAGUCGCCGUAGCGUUGCAAGGUAGGACUGUGCUUCAUCUGAUGCAGCUGCUGAAAAAAGGUAAUAAGCUUGUGCUGGUGAUACAACUGCAGUAAAGGUGCGCAGGUAAAUAAACGCGUCUCAGUCAGAAAGCGAGGCUGUGACUUUCGUGCCUUGUAACAUAUAUAUUUCCUGUAUUCCUGUUGAUAAAACUUGAGAGGGUAGUCUCGGAGAAAGAGGAAGAAGGAGGAGAAGGGGAAGGAGAAGAAGAAGAAGAAGAAGAAGAAGGAGAAGGAGAAGGAGAAGGAGAAGGAGAAGGAGAAGGAGC